rnacentral:rRNA from 1 species
CAGAAACUUAAAGAAGUUCGACGGGGCCCGCACAAGCGGUGGAGUAUGUGGUUUAAUUCGAUGCAACGCGAAGAACCUUACCUGGUCUUGACAUCCCGGAGACCCUUAGGAAACUAGGGGGUGCUUCCAUCUGGAAGAAUCUGGAGACAGGUGCUGCAUGGCUGUCGUCAGCUCGUGUCGUGAGAUGUUGGGUUAAGUCCCGCAACGAGCGCAACCCUUGCCUUUAGUUGCCAGCAGUUCGGCUGGGCACUCUAAAGGGACUGCCGGUGUUAAACCGGAGGAAGGUGGGGAUGACGUCAAGUCCUCAUGGCCUUUAUGACCAGGGCUACACACGUACUACAAUGGCCGAUACAAAGGGCAGCGACACUGCGAGGUGAAGCCAAUCCCGUAAAAUCGGUCUCAGUCCGGAUUGGAGUCUGCAACUCGACUCCAUGAAGUUGGAAUCGCUAGUAAUCGUGGAUCAGCAUGCCACGGUGAAUACGUUCCCGGGCCUU